rnacentral:rRNA from 1 species
AGAUAAUAAAUCCUUUUAUCCAGAUGAAGCAACCAUCAAAGACGAUGAAGCCUACAAAAACCUUAAUCCAUAUUGGACUGGAAUUUAGAGUAGAAUUCUACUCUAACCGGCGAUUUCCGAAUGGGGAAACCCAGUGUGUUUCGACACACUAUCAUUAACUGAAUCCAUAGGUUAAUGAGGCGAACCGGGGGAACUGAAACAUCUAAGUACCCCGAGGAAAAGAAAUCAACCGAGAUUCCCCCAGUAGCGGCGAGCGAACGGGGAGGAGCCCAGAGCCUGAAUCAGUGUGUGUGUUAGUGGAAGCGUCUGGAAAGGCGCGCGAUACAGGGUGACAGCCCCGUACACAAAAAUGCACAUAUUGUGAGCUCGAUGAGUAGGGCGGGACACGUGGUAUCCUGUCUGAAUAUGGGGGGACCAUCCUCCAAGGCUAAAUACUCCUGACUGACCGAUAGUGAACCAGUACCGUGAGGGAAAGGCGAAAAGAACCCCGGCGAGGGGAGUGAAAAAGAACCUGAAACCGUGUACGUACAAGCAGUGGGAGCCUCUUAAUGGGGUGACUGCGUACCUUUUGUAUAAUGGGUCAGCGACUUAUAUUCUGUAGCAAGGUUAACCGAAUAGGGGAGCCGAAGGGAAACCGAGUCUUAACUGGGCGUUAAGUUGCAGGGUAUAGACCCGAAACCCGGUGAUCUAGCCAUGGGCAGGUUGAAGGUUGGGUAACACUAACUGGAGGACCGAACCGACUAAUGUUGAAAAAUUAGCGGAUGACUUGUGGCUGGGGGUGAAAGGCCAAUCAAACCGGGAGAUAGCUGGUUCUCCCCGAAAGCUAUUUAGGUAGCGCCUCGUGAAUUCAUCUCCGGGGGUAGAGCACUGUUUCGGCAAGGGGGUCAUCCCGACUUACCAACCCGAUGCAAACUGCGAAUACCGGAGAAUGUUAUCACGGGAGACACACGGCGGGUGCUAACGUCCGUCGUGAAGAGGGAAACAACCCAGACCGCCAGCUAAGGUCCCAAAGUCAUGGUUAAGUGGGAAACGAUGUGGGAAGGCCCAGACAGCCAGGAUGUUGGCUUAGAAGCAGCCAUCAUUUAAAGAAAGCGUAAUAGCUCACUGGUCGAGUCGGCCUGCGCGGAAGAUGUAACGGGGCUAAACCAUGCACCGAAGCUGCGGCAGCGACACUAUGUGUUGUUGGGUAGGGGAGCGUUCUGUAAGCCUGUGAAGGUGGCCUGUGAGGGUUGCUGGAGGUAUCAGAAGUGCGAAUGCUGACAUAAGUAACGAUAAAGCGGGUGAAAAGCCCGCUCGCCGGAAGACCAAGGGUUCCUGUCCAACGUUAAUCGGGGCAGGGUGAGUCGACCCCUAAGGCGAGGCCGAAAGGCGUAGUCGAUGGGAAACAGGUUAAUAUUCCUGUACUUGGUGUUACUGCGAAGGGGGGACGGAGAAGGCUAUGUUGGCCGGGCGACGGUUGUCCCGGUUUAAGCGUGUAGGCUGGUUUUCCAGGCAAAUCCGGAAAACCAAGGCUGAGGCGUGAUGACGAGGCACUACGGUGCUGAAGCGACAAAUGCCCUGCUUCCAGGAAAAGCCUCUAAGCAUCAGGUAACAUCAAAUCGUACCCCAAACCGACACAGGUGGUCAGGUAGAGAAUACCAAGGCGCUUGAGAGAACUCGGGUGAAGGAACUAGGCAAAAUGGUGCCGUAACUUCGGGAGAAGGCACGCUGAUAUGUAGGUGAAGCGACUUGCUCGUGGAGCUGAAAUCAGUCGAAGAUACCAGCUGGCUGCAACUGUUUAUUAAAAACACAGCACUGUGCAAACACGAAAGUGGACGUAUACGGUGUGACGCCUGCCCGGUGCCGGAAGGUUAAUUGAUGGGGUUAGCGGUAACGCGAAGCUCUUGAUCGAAGCCCCGGUAAACGGCGGCCGUAACUAUAACGGUCCUAAGGUAGCGAAAUUCCUUGUCGGGUAAGUUCCGACC